UAUACGACCGUACCGCAAACCGACACUGGUGCGCGAGAUGAGUAUUCUAAGGCGCUUGAGAGAACUCAGGAGAAGGAACUCGGCAAAUUGACACCGUAACUUCGGAAGAAGGUGUGCCCUAUUAGUGUGUAGUGAACAACGAAGCAUGAGUGGGUUGCAAAAAAUCGGUGGCUGCGACUGUUUAUUAAAAACAUAGCACUCUGCAAACACGAAAGUGGACGUAUAGGGUGUGACGCCUGCCCGGUGCUGGAAGAUUAAAUGAUGGGGUGCAAGCUCUUGAUUGAAGUCCCAGUAAACGGCGGCCGUAACCAUAACGGUCCUAAGGUAGCGAAAUUCCUUGUCGGGUAAGUCCCGACCUGCACGAAUGGCGUAACGAUGGCCACACUGUCUCCUCCUGAGACUCAGCGAAGUUGAAAUGUUUGUGAUGAUGCAAUCUCCCCGCGGAAAGACGGAAAGACCCCAUGAACCUUUACUGUAGCUUUGUAUUGGACUUUGAACAGAUCUGUGUAGGAUAGGUGGGAGGCUUUGAAGCAGGGUCGCUAGAUCUUGUGGAGCCAACGUUGAAAUACCACCCUGGUGUGUUUGAGGUUCUAACCUAGGUCCAUUAUCUGGAUCGGGGACAGUGCAUGGUAGGCAGUUUGACUGGGGCGGUCUCCUCCCAAAGCGUAACGGAGGAGUUCGAAGGUACGCUAGUUACGGUCGGACAUCGUGACGAUAGUGCAAUGGCAUAAGCGUGCUUAACUGCGAGACUGACAAGUCGAGCAGAUGCGAAAGCAGGACAUAGUGAUCCGGUGGUUCUGUAUGGAAGGGCCAUCGCUCAACGGAUAAAAGGUACUCUGGGGAUAACAGGCUGACACCGCCCAAGAGUUCAUAUCGACGGCGGUGUUUGGCACCUCGAUGUCGGCUCAUCUCAUCCUGGGGCUGUAGCCGGUCCCAAGGGUAUGGCUAUUCGCCAUUUAAAGAGGUACGUGAGCUGGGUUUAAAACGUCGUGAGACAGUUUGGUCCCUAUCUUCCGUGGGCGCUGCAGAUUUGAGGAAGCCUGCUCCUAGUACGAGGGGACCGGAGUGGACACACCUCUGGUGUAUCGGUUGUCACGCCAGUGGCAUUGCCGAGUAGCUAAGUGUGGAAGAGAUAACCGCUGAAAGCAUCUAAGCGGGAAACUCGUUUCAAGAUGAGAUCUGCCGGGGCCUUGAGCCCCCUAAAGAGUCGUUCAAGACCAGGACGUUGAUAGGUCAGGUGUGGAAGCG
rnacentral:rRNA from 1 species